UAUUGGUCCCCUCGCAAUGAUACGCUGUGAAUCCCGUCAGGCCUGGAAGGGAGCAGCGGCAGCAGCGGACUCAUGUGCCGGGGUGUGGCUGAUACGG
rnacentral:SRP_RNA from 1 species